UUUUCUUAUGUGAUACAAAAUAUACUUAACCAACAUUUUAAAAAAGAUAUUUAUAUUUUAUAACAGAUAGAACACAUUUAUUUUGGAUUUCACCUUCAAGAUUCAUUCAUGACACCAUUUGUUAUGUUGUUGAUCACGAGAGGGAAGAUCGAAAUCUUAACUCUCUUAGGACCUAAUCAUCUGGAAUUGUUUCUUUUACAUAGCAAAAAUGUUCUUCAAAACUUCUUUUCUAACGUCUAACCUUUAUUUUCCGUAUUCAUCCACAAAUGAGGAAGGGGAGUUUACGACAACAGUAGAUUGACAGAUACGCUUUACGAUGAUUAGGGGUAUUUUUCGGCCUGUUACUGCUUUCUAUACAGGGCAAUUACAAAGAACUGUUCGUCUUUCUAUGUGCCGAUGCAUCCAGUUGAGCUCAGUUCAUACAGUCGCCGGUGUUUGUGAUGCACCCACUUGGGUUCAGUUCAUGCAGUCAGCGUUAUUUCCAAUGUACCCGCACGGGUUCUGUUGUUUGAUGUAUCCACUUAAGAUAGGUUCACACGGUUGGUGUUGUUUCUGAUGCAUCCAUGUGGGUUAAGUUCAUACAUAUAACAUUGUUUCUUAUACAUCCACAUGGGUUCUGUUCGGGCAGUAAGCGUAGUUUCUAAUGCAUCCCCGUGGGUUCUGUUCAUACAGCUAGUGUUGUUUCUAAUGAACUCACUUGAGCUGAGUUCAGACAGUUGCCGUUGUUUCUGAUGUAUCCACAUAGGUUCAGUUCAUAGUGCACGUGAAUACACACAGGUUCACUGCAUUCGCUCAGUAAUGUGUCAGGUUCCUGCUCAUGUACAUUAUCUUCAGGUAAGAACUCUCAACUCAUAUACAUAAGCUUCGGGUGACACAAGGUUCUUGCUCAUUAACAUUAUCUUCAGGUAAGAACUCUCGGCUCAUAUACAUAAGCUCCGGGUGACACAAGGUUCCUGCUUGUGUACAUAAUCUUACACAUAAUCACAAUAAUAAAUAAUCUCCAGGUGAGAAGGUUCGUGCUCGCAUACAUAGUCUUCAGGUAUGGGAAGGUCUCCCCUCAUAUACAUAAUCACCAGCUGAGA